rnacentral:rRNA from 1 species
UACAGAGGUCCCGAGCGUUGUUCGGAUUCACUGGGCGUAAAGGGUGCGUAGGUGGCAUGGUAAGUUUGAUGUGAAAGCUCAGGGCUUAACCCUGAAAUGGCAUUGAAUACUACUGUGCUGGAGGUUUGGAGGGGGGACUGGAAUUCUUGGUGUAGCAGUGAAAUGCGUAGAUAUCAAGAAGGAACACCGGUGGCGAAGGCGGGUCUCUGGGCCGAUACUGACGCUGAGGAGCGAAAGCGUGGGGAGCGAACAGG